rnacentral:rRNA from 1 species
AUUGAACGCUGGCGGCAGGCCUAACACAUGCAAGUCGAGCGGAUGAGUGGAGCUUGCUCCAUGAUUCAGCGGCGGACGGGUGAGUAAUGCCUAGGAAUCUGCCUGGUAGUGGGGGACAACGUUUCGAAAGGAACGCUAAUACCGCAUACGUCCUACGGGAGAAAGCAGGGGACCUUCGGGCAUUGCGCUAUCAGAUGAGCCUAGGUCGGAUUAGCUAGUUGGUGAGGUAAAGGCUCACCAAGGCGACGAUCCGUAACUGGUCUGAGAGGAUAAUCAGUCACACUGGAACUGAGACACGGUCCAGACUCCUACGGGAGGCAGCAGUGGGGAAUAUUGGACAAUGGGCGAAAGCCUGAUCCAGCCAUGCCGCGUGUGUGAAGAAGGUCUUCGGAUUGUAAAGCACUUUAAGUUGGGAAGAAGGGCAGUAAGUUAAUACCUUGCUGUUUUGACGUUACCGACAGAAUAAGCACCGGCUAACUUCGUGCCAGCAGCCGCAGUAAUAC